rnacentral:lncRNA from 1 species
UGCAUGAACUCUUGGUUUUACCUUAUGAGUUGUUGGGUUGAGUCUGUUGUUGUAGAUUUACUCAUACGAGCUUUUAAAGCUUACCGGGUUUGUUGUUUACAACCCGGUACACCAUUCCAUGGUGUAGAGGUUGAUUUUGCAGGUGAGGAAGUUCAAGACUGAGACGUAGAGGUCUAGAAGCUGUUUGUUAGGAGUUAAACAUUUUGUUAUUGUAUGUCAAAUUGUAGUGAGCUCUUUUGAGCGUGACCUUUACUUGACUUCUCAAGUUUUGUAAACGUUGAAUUUUAUUAUAUGACUCUUUUUAUUUUUGUUAUCAUGCCUUAAAUUUGGAUUUUUAUUUAUCCGAAAUUUGGGGUGUGACACGAGUAACCCAGGUGAAACUUCAUGUUAACCUUAUAUUUUAUACUCAAAACUUCGGGUUUGAGCUUUUAUCGUUAGAACUUCGGGUUCUAUAAUUCCAGUAUUUUGAAACUUCUGGUCCAAAAAUAUUACACUCGAAAUUCAU